rnacentral:rRNA from 1 species
CUACGUGCCAGCAGCCGCGGUAAUACGGAAGGUCCGGGCGUUAUCCGGAUUUAUUGGGUUUAAAGGGAGCGUAGGCCGCCCCUUAAGCGUGUUGUGAAAUGCGGGUGCUCAACAUCCGACUUGCAGCGCGAACUGGGGGGCUUGAGUGCGCCGAAAGUAGGCGGAAUUCGUGGUGUAGCGGUGAAAUGCUUAGAUAUCACGAAGAACUCCGAUUGCGAAGGCAGCUUACUGUAGCGCAACUGACGCUGAUGCUCGAAAGCGUGGGUAUCGAACAGGAUUAGAUACCCUGGUAGUCCACGCGGUAAACGAUGGAUGCUCGUUGUCGGCCUUUGUGGUCGGUGACCAAGCGAAAGCGUUAAGCAUCCCACCUGGGGAGUACGCCGGCAACGGUGAAACUCAAAGGAAUUGACGGGGGCCCGCACAAGCGGAGGAACAUGUGGUUUAAUUCGAUGAUACGCGAGGAACCUUACCCGGGCUUGA